rnacentral:snRNA from 1 species
CGCUUCUCGGCCUUUUGGCUAAGAUCAAGUGUAAAACCUAU